rnacentral:lncRNA from 1 species
AAACCAUAUAACAUCUUCAAUUCAAAAUAUUUCAUUCAAUCAUCCAAUUCAUUACAAUUUCAAAUCAAUUCAAGUUACAACUUCAAACCAACUUAUACUUUCAAUCCCACGAUCAUUUCCAUACACAACCAAAACCAAAUUACAAUGUCCAACCAAUACAAAUCCAUUUCAAAGUUACCAAAAAUCCAACCAUUGAAACCUAAUUCAAGCAAUCCUAAGUCCCUAAAAAUCAUAAAUCUAUUACCAAGCAACAUGUCCUAGCAGCUCACAAAUGAUUCCAUGUGGCCCAUGAUUAGUAAUUCAGCCUGCCAAAUUCCAUUCAAGAGGGCAAUUAAUUUUUAAUCUGCAGAAUUUUAUAACAGAGAGAAAAACGGAUUAACUCACACUCUGUAAUCAACAACUAAUUCACUCCACUUUUGUAACAGAACCUUCAACCAUCUCAUCCAUUUCACACUAACUUUCUAACCUUUAGCUCACUAACUAUUAAUAGAUUCAAUUGCAACAAUCUAACUAACUGAUUCACACUCACGGUUUUCAAUGCCUAACAGAGUCUUAACUGCAAUUUUCACUGAUCGAGAUUAACAUAGUUAAACUCUGUUAAUCCUUCAAUCUCUAUAAAACCCAAUCACCAACUCAGACUCAAGGAUUGAAGCUCCCAGUUGCAGUUCAAUAUUCAUUCAUCCAUCGAGCCAGAGAAUCACAAAUCCACAUACAUGCUUCGAAUCAUCAUCUCUUCACUCUCAUCAUAAAUCAAACAACACAGAAGCAGCGAAAGAAUUCGAGAAAGGAGAAGAAGAAGAUCAAAAAUAGAAACAGGAGAAAACGAAAAAGGACGCAUAGCGGUUCACACGCACGAAUCCGAACCAAUCGUCUUCAGCGUCAACUGAAUCAACAAUGCAACAUUCUUCAUCUCAGAACAACAACAACAACAACGACGCGAGUUGAAGAAGGAUUCGGCAUGCAACGAUUGAAGAAUAUUAAACGCAUCUCCUAGAGCUCGCGUCGAAUCCGGUAGGUCCACUUCUUCCUUCUUUUUGUUGUUUCCAUUUCACGUGCAAGGUUUCUAUUCCAAAUAUUUCCCGAUGCGGUGUUGCGCCGGAAUCGAUUCUUGGUUGCAUCUUUACCACGAGUCGUGUUCGGCUAGAGGAAGAGAUGAGGUCGCAACUUUGAGUUGCAGACGCGGGAAUGGUCAAGGCAUCUUUACCCAUUAUUUUUGCAUUUGUUGAGCAUUUUGCAUUGGGCUUUUGGCCCAAGAUCCGCUUCCUGCAACCCCCUUGUGUUGCAGUGCAUAGGCCCAGGCCCAGUUUCUUGUUUUCUUGGCAUUUUCUCUUUUUUAUAUUUUCUAUUAUUUGUUUGUUUGGUUAAUUAAAUUUAAUUGAUUAGUUAGAUUAGGAUUAGAGGUUAAUUAG